AUGCUCACUUUGGCAGCACAUAUACUAAAACUGGAACAAUACGGGGAUUAGCAUGGCUCCUGUGCAAGGAUGACAUGCAAAUUCAUGAAACAUUCCAUAUUUUU
ensembl:snRNA U6 U6 spliceosomal RNA